AUAAGUGACUUUUAACCAAAGACCCAAUUGAAUUUAAAAAAUGAAUCUUUACUUAUAUGAUCCACUAUUUAUAUCCACACAUCAGACUCAUUAUGAAAAUCGGUUUCAAUAGUCAAUCCUUAUGCAAAGAUAAAGCUCCUUCUAAAUAAACUACUAAUAUCUCUUCAAAGCCACAACUUCACUUGCUAACAUUCUCAUUUACACUAAUUAAACUACCACCUAAUACAGACUCAAAGCAUACGAAAGCACCUAUAGUCUAUUUCCUUUAUUCAGCAGCACCACUUGUAGCUCCAAUUGGUGAAGCAAAUUCUGGCCAAAUUUAUGCAAUCUUCACCUUUGUUAUGCUUGCCAUUACACUCAAUUGAGUCACAUCUCCAACAACAGUUACUUUCUUUGCUGCAAAGUCUAUGCUUGGAUGACAACUAAUUUCAUCUUCAUAAUAUCUCCAUCCACCAAAAAUUUGAGCCAACCUAUUAAAGUAGGAAUCUUUCAACAUAAUUUGAGCCACCAACAUUCACAAAGUUUGCAAUCUAAUAAAGAUCGAACGCAUUGUGAGAUAUGAGAUAUUGGACUGCACAUUGGUUGAAACAUAUCAAUCUCUCCAAGUUCAAAACUUCAUACUUAUCCCUAAUUUAAGUUGUUGAGAACUUUUUUUUACUUAGUAUCAUAAGCAAAGAUUGAAGCAAUUAAGUACUGUAUAUUAAAGCAUUCAAAAUUACAACAAAGCAUAUCAUAUCUCUGUUUUCAAAGCCAGCCAUCUAAAGCAAGAAAGAUAAGAGUCUGACUUUUUUUUUUUCUUUCCUGGAUUGGGUUUUAUAACAGUCAUUUAAUUAUGUGAGAUAGGAUGCCAUAUGGGAAAUGAAGGGUUGGACGAAGAUGGUGUUGAGAUAGGAUAGACAAAACGCAGAGGAGAUGAAUAGAAAAGAAAAUUAGAAGACUGGUGUAUUUGAUCAAUGAGAAAAUACGCGUGGAUUAGUGAAGGAGUUAUGCAAAAAUAUAGGGUUGGAUACUCAAGACUUCCUAAAAAGUAGCAAUGAUGAUGUAGUCAUCCCUAUAAAAUAGUAAUAACCAUAAAUACCUAUCCCCCCUCCACUACAAAGUAGCAAUUAUGAUUCACCAACAUGUUCCAAAUUUAUCUGCAUACAUAAAAAAGGAAUAAAAAGUUGCUUAUAAAAAAAAUAAAAAUAAAAAGGAGUUUAGUUGCUUAAUUAGUGUGUUUCUAAUUGGACAUUACUAUCUACUUAAUAUUGUUUCACAUUAAUUUGUUUAAACACCAACUAAUAAGAUCAAAACUCUGUUUAAACACCAACUAACCAACAUAAUAUUAUGUAACCAAUAUGUGUAAUUGGGUAGAGAAUCUUAAAAAUAGUUUCUAACCUCAGUAGAUUCAAUGAGAUCCUCAAUAGUUAUCUUUGGGGUUUGUAGCAAAUCAUCGACGACACUAUGCAUCACUGGUCCGAUCAUUUGAUUAACCACUUGACUCAACUCCACAUUAGCAACAUUCAUCCUUUAUUUAAGAAAAUAGACAAUCAAGCACCAAAGAGUAGCUAAAGGAAAUUCAAGCAACCAGCAUACAUAGAGGAAUCACCUUUCUAUAUAAUCAUAUACUUCAGGAAUCUGAGCAUUCAACAACAAUUCUGAUCCAUAAAAAGAAUUUGAAAUUCACAUAGCACAUACUCAAAUGGAAACAAAAAAAAAUAAACCACCAGAGCUAGAUUUCAAACAAUAGGUGAAAAGGAAGUAUUUUCCUACCAAGGUACUUCUUAAGCUUGCAUAGUUGUAUUAUGAUUACCACAGGUAGGGAUGAAUCAUGAGUAUAUCCAAGAAUUUCUGCAUAUUUAGAGCAAAAUCAUCCCACAAAGUGCAAUGCACCCUAUUACCUUUACAGUAAGAACGAUCAAGGUGGAUAAGUAUCUGCAAAUAAUUAUGGAAUAAAGAUGCACAAAACCUUGUAACACAUAUAAACUCACUCUAAAUCUUCAAGGGUUGCAUCCAUAACAUUACUUAUCUUCCCAUUUUUCUCACUGCCUUCACUCCUUCCUCAGCCUGCCCCUUGCCUAUAUCAAAGACACAAAAUACAAUUAAAAUAUAUAACAUAAAAAAUUCUAAUUUUCAUAAAAUCAGCUGGACCAAUCAACAAUACCCUAGUUAAAAUUAACAUCAACAUAUAAUUCAUGUGUUACUUAACUUAGCAAAUCAAACAACCAAAUUUGAAAAAUCAAUUGAAAAACCCUACACAAAUUAUAUGCAUAACUCUAAGGGCAAAAAAGUUUAAUCCACAUUCCAUGAAUCAAAACAAAAUUAACAUAUAGUAAUAUGUAUAGUACUUAAUUUUUUUAAAAAAAUUGUAAAAUCAAUUGAAGAAUUAGCAUUGCACUAAAUCAUAUACAUGAUUCUAUGCACGAAAAAUAUUAAUCAACAUUGAAACUAAGAAAUGUUCUCUACUUAGGGUUGCAACCUCAAAAAAGAAUUCAUACUCAAAUCUCAACUUUAUAAGAACAAAAAAGACAUAUCAGAGGUGCAAUCAAAUAUGAUUCAAUUUUGAAUAUACCUUUAUCCUCUUUAAACUCUCAUUUGUAUUUAUCGUUACCUCAAAAUUUGCACUUUUGGUUGCUAUCUCCUACAAAACAAUAUCAACAUGUUAAUAGCCAAGCAUGCCAUCUCAAACAUAUGCCUAAAAUAUAUACACCAAGAUCAAAAAAUUAUUGAGUAAGAAAAAUAGAUUAGAAAAUUAUCUUCCCUAAAACUAUUCUUUCUUUUAAUAGGGAGCUCUCCUCUUACUUCACAAACAAACAAUGUCGUACAAAUCUAAAUCAGGCCGCAAUUGAGACAGUAAUAAAACAUAACAAAAAUAAUGUUAUAUUCAAUUUAGAUUGGAGCUAUAUAUUUUUUUUUACACCCAACCCAAUAUAUCGUUAAGUACUAAAAUUGUUCCCUGCAUAUAAGGAUGCACACCAGAUCUGCAAAAAUUAAAAAGGGUAAUCUUAAGUCCAAUAUAAGUAUAACAUAUCAUACAUAUACAAAGAAGCAAAAAAUAGACAACUCACAGCCAACUAAAAAAACCUUCUUCAAGAAAUGUGAAGAGAAGUUUAGGCCUAUUAAGUGCUUGUAGCAACAUAAAACACAAUUAGAAUAAAGAGUUUAAAGAGGAGUUAGUAUCACAAGGUGCAUGCUUUUCUGAAUUCUGUUGUAUAUGAUUGUCAUUUUACUGAAAGUUUUCUUUAUACUAAUCAUAGUUUGACCUAGAAAACAGAUACCUUUGCUCCAUAAUAUCUAUUUGAUUCUCUUUGCUUUUUCAACAAAUUCACCAAGGUUUCCGAGUUUGCAAAAGCUUGGGCACCUCCAAGUCCACCCUAUAGACAAAUUGGAAUAUAUUUACACAAACAUACACAUAGAAUAAUUACUACAAAGAAAGUUAAAAGUCCCCUUACAGGCAAUACAAUCAGGUCAUGGGAAAUUUAGCCGCUUCAUCAAGGAGUAUGUCUGCCUCCAGUUUAACUUUACGUGAUGCCUCGAUCUAUCUCAGCAAAUUAGCAAAGUAAAAUGGUUAGCAAAUAAGUUACAAAACCAAAACCGCAAAAAUUGAUUUACUUCUUAAAACCAAGCCUAUUGCAAAAGAUUCAAAAAAGCAAAUGAUGAUAGAAAAAAUUGAUCAUCUUUGGGAAAAACUCGAUGUGAAAAAUUUAUGCAUAAAUUAACAUCUCAUACCUCAAACGAUAUGAAAUAGUGCAUAGUGUCCCAUCAACCCAUUUUUGCUUUUGGAGUUUGCUCUCAGACUUAAAUUCUAGAAGACCUUGUGUAGUUUUGAGGCCAAAAUAGAGCUCUUUAGAAGCUUCCCUUUCUUUUUGAUAUGGC
rnacentral:lncRNA from 1 species